GUACGACCUAUCCAGCAUGGACUGGAUCAUACAGCUUGAGCUGGAUGUUUCUGUCAAGCUCUUGUGUGCUUGCUUUGGCCGCCCUCAUGGCAAUACGCCCUGCUGUCAUGAGAGGAAAGAGGGCAAUUGUUGCACUGGUUCUCAACAGCUUUUCAGUUGCUUUCUGUGUGAGUUGCAUCAUAGCCUUCAUGGUAUCCAUCCAGCUGCUGAAUCCCCAGUUGUUUAAAAACCUGGGCUGGUCCUUCUACAUCUGCUGUGCUACUCUGCUCUACGCCUCCGUGGUGUCUGUGACCUUGGGGUUGGUUGAAAGCUCCAAUCUGAUUGAGCCGAUGAUCGACACCAGCUACAACGGACAGUCUGUACUACCAACAUAGAUGCC
ensembl:lncRNA